rnacentral:rRNA from 1 species
UAACACGUGGAUAACCUACCUAUAAGACUGGGAUAACUUCGGGAAACCGGAGCUAAUACCGGAUAAUAUUUUGAACCGCAUGGUUCAAAAGUGAAAGACGGUCUUGCUGUCACUUAUAGAUGGAUCCGCGCUGCAUUAGCUAGUUGGUAAGGUAACGGCUUACCAAGGCAACGAUGCAUAGCCGAUCUGAGAGGGUGAUCGGCCACACUGGAACUGAGACACGGUCCAG